rnacentral:rRNA from 1 species
UACGUAGGGGGCAAGCGUUGUCCGGAUUUAUUGGGCGUAAAGAGCGUGUAGGCGGCCAGGUAGGUCUGCUGUGAAAACUCGAGGCUCAACCUCGAGACGUCGGCGGAAACCAUCUGGCUAGAGUCCGGAAGAGGAGAGUGGAAUUCCUGGUGUAGCGGUGGAAUGCGCAGAUAUCAGGAGGAACACCUAUAGCGAAGGCAGCUUGCUGGGACGUUACUGACGCUAAGGCGCGAAAGCGUGGGGAGCGAACAGG